rnacentral:rRNA from 1 species
CCUACGGGUGGCAGCAGUGAGGAAUAUUGGUCAAUGGCCGAGAGGCUGAACCAGCCAAGUCGCGUGAGGGAAGACGGCCCUACGGGUUGUAAACUUCUUUUGUCGGGGAGUAAAGCGAACCACGUGUGGUUCAUUGAGAGUACCCGAUGAAAAAGCAUCGGCUAACUCCGUGCCAGCAGCCGCGGUAAUACGGUGGAUGCGGGCGUUAUCCGGUUUUAUUGGGUUUAAGGGGUGCGCAGGCGGAGGUGCACGUCAGCGGUGAAAUUGCGGGGCUCAACCCCGUACUGCCGUUGAAACUGGAUGCCUUGAGUGCGCGGGAAGUAGGCGGAAUGCGUGGUGUAGCGGUGAAAUGCAUAGAUAUCACGCAGAACUCCGAUUGCGAAGGCAGCAUACCGGCGCGCAACUGACGCUGAUGCACGAAAGCGUGGGUAUCGAACAGGAUUAGAUACCCGAGUAGUC